AAAUCCCCAAAUUCCAAAAAUUGAUAUUGUGUAUUAUAAAAUAACCCAUAGACCAAAUAAGAAAUUUCUAGGGAAAUUAUAAAAUAUAUUGAACAGAAUAUAACAGAACAUUAUCUAAGGGUGUGGGAUACCAGGAAAAGCAGUGUGUGGAGGAAAAUAAUGUUCAUGCAAAUCCGGUUAGAAAGGAAAAGAAGGGACAGACCCAAAUGCUAGCAUCAAGACUCCUGAACAAAUUUCAAUCUUUAAAUGUUAAGUUAAAAAGGAAAGCAAAGUAAACACUAAGUGAAAAAAAGGAUUAAAUAAACAGAUGUGAGUAAAUUACGUGAAAUCAGACAAAAAUAGAACAAAUUAACAAAGACAGUUUCCACAAAAAUUAAUAAUAAGCUUUGACAAAGAUUAAUGGAUAUAAUUUCAGUUGUGAAAAACAAAAUGUCACUAUGGUAACUACAAAUAUUAAAACAACAAAUAAUAUUUUGAAAUAAUAUCUUGAGAAACUACACCAGUAAAUUUGAAAACUAAGAUGAAAUGAGCAAAUUUCUUCUAAAAUACAAGUUACAAAACACAAUUACAAAAUAUUAUCCCAUGAACAAUUUAAGUAUCUAAAUAGUCCUGUGCCUGUUGAAUAAAAUUCAUCCAAAAAAGAAAAAGAUUUCCACAAAGGUAAUUGUUUAUCUAGGCAGUUUAAUUAGUGAAUUAUCAAAAAAAACUUAAUGCCCUGUUUAAGACAUAAAAGAUAAAAUAAUAUAUAGCAUUACCUUCAUAUCAA
rnacentral:lncRNA from 1 species